GACGAACGCUGGCGGCGUGCUUAACACAUGCAAGUCGGACGGAAAGGCCCUGCUUUUGUGGGGUGCUCGAGGGGCGAACGGGUGAGUAACACGUGAGUAACCUGCCCUUGACUGUGGGAUAACUUCAGGAAACUGGGGCUAAUACCGGCUAGGAGCUCCUGCUGCAUGGUGGGGGUGGGAAAGUUUCGGCGGUUGGGGAUGGACUCGCGGCUUAUCAGCUUGUUGGUGGGGUAGUGGCUUACCAAGGCUUUGACGGGUAGCCGGCCUGAGAGGGUGACCGGCCACACUAGGACUGAGAUACGGCACAGACUCCUACGGGAGGCAGGAGUGGAGAAGAGUGUACAAUGGGCGGAAGCAUGAUGCAGCAACGCCGCGUGCGGGAUGACGGCCUGGCGGUUGUAAAGCGCAGUCGCCUGUGACGAAGCGUGAGUGACGGUAACGGGUAAAGAAGCACCGGCUAACUACGUG
rnacentral:rRNA from 1 species